rnacentral:rRNA from 1 species
UACGGGGGGAGCAAGCGUUGUUCGGAUUUACUGGGCGUAAAGGGCGCGUAGGCGGCCACCGCAAGUCGGUUGUGAAAUCUCUGGGCUUAACCCAGAAAGGUCAACCGAUACUGCGGGGCUAGAGUGCAGAAGGGCAACUGGAAUUCUCGGUGUAGCGGUGAAAUGCGUAGAUAUCGAGAGGAACACCUGCGGCGAAGGCGGGUUGCUGGGCUGACACUGACGCUGAGGUGCGAAAGCGUGGGGAGCAAACAGG